rnacentral:rRNA from 1 species
CUCAGUAACACGUGGAUAAUCUGCCCUUAGGUGGAGGAUAAUCUCGGGAAACUGAGGAUAAUACUCCAUAAAUCUAGGAUGCUGGAAUGCAUCUAGAUUGAAAGCUCCGGCGCCUAAGGAUGAGUCUGCGGACUAUCAGGUUGUAGUCAGGGUAAAGACCUGACUAGCCUACGACGGAUACGGGUUGUGAGAGCAAUAACCCGGAGACGAUAUCUGAGACACGAUAUCGGGCCCUACGGGGCGCAGCAGGCGCGAAAACUUCACACUGUGCGAAAGCGCGAUGAGGGAAUCCCAAGUGUUUGCUCGUAAGAGUAAACUGUUUCUUUGUUUAAAACGCAGAGAGAGUAAGGGCUGGGUAAGACGGGUGCCAGCCGCCGCGGUAAUACCUGCAGCUCAAGUGGUGAUCAUUAUUAUUGGGCCUAAAACGUCCGUAGCCGGUUUAGUAAAUGCCUGGGUAAAUCGUGUAGCUUAACUAUACGACUUCCGGGUAGACUGCUAAACUUGAGACCGGGAGAGGCUAGAGGUACUCCUGGGGUAGAGGUGAAAUUCUGUAAUCCUAGGGGGACCACCAGUGGCGAAGGCGUCUAGCUAGAACGGGUCUGACGGUGAGGGACGAAGCCCUGGGGCACAAACCGGAUUAGAUACCCGGGUAGUCCAGGGUGUAAACGCUGCUUGCUUGAUGUUAGUUGGGCUCCGAGCCCAACUAGUGUCGGAGAGAAGUUGUUAAGCAGCUGCCUGGGAAGUACGGUCGCAAGGCUGAAACUAAAG